rnacentral:rRNA from 1 species
GGAUAACCUACCCUUAGGACUGGGAUAACCCUGGGAAACUGGGGAUAAUACCGGAUAGGCAAUUCUUCCUGGAAUGGUUUUUUGUUUAAAUGUUUUUUCGCCUAAGGAUGGGUCUGCGGCCGAUUAGGUAGUUGGUUAGGUAACGGCUUACCAAGCCAUUGAUCGGUACGGGUUGUGAGAGCAAGAGCCCGGAGAUGGAACCUGAGACAAGGUUCCAGGCCCUACGGGGUGCAGCAGGCGCGAAACCUCCGCAAUGUGAGAAAUCGCGACGGGGGGAUCCCAAGUGCCAUUCUUAACGGGAUGGCUUUUCAUUAGUGUAAAGAGCUUUUGGAAUAAGGGCUGGGCAAGACCGGUGCCAGCCGCCGCGGUAACACCGGCAGCUCUAGUGGUAGCAGUUUUUAUUGGGCCUAAAGCGUCCGUAGCCGGUUUAAUAAGUCUCUGGUGAAAUCCUGUAGCUUAACUGUGGGAAUUGCUGGAGAUACUAUUAGACUUGAGACCGGGAGAGGUUAGAGGUACUCCCAGGGUAGAGGUGAAAUUCUGUAAUCCUGGGAGGACCGCCUGUUGCGAAGGCGUCUAACUGAAACGGUUCUGACGGUGAGGGACGAAAGUUAGGGGCGCGAACCGGAUUAGAUACCCGGGUAGUCCUAACUGUAAACGAUGCGGACUUGGUGUUGGGGUGGCUUUGAGCUGCUCCAGUGCCGAAGGGAAGCUGUUAAGUCCGCCGCCUGGGAAG